rnacentral:rRNA from 1 species
GAUGAACGCUGGCGGCGUGCCUAAUACAUGCAAGUCGAGCGAACAGACGAGGAGCUUGCUCCUCUGACGUUAGCGGCGCACGGGUGUGUAACACGUGGAUAACCUCCCUAUCUUACUGGGAUAACUUCGGGACACCGGCUCUAAUACCGGAUAACAUCUUGAACCGCAUGGUUCAACAGUGAAAGACGGUCUUUCUGUCACUUCUAGAUGGAUCCGCGCCGCAUUAGCUAGUUGGUAAGGUAACGGCUUACCAAGGCAACGAUGCGUAGCCGACCUGAGAGGGUGAUAGGCCACACUGGAACUGAGACACGGUCCAGACGCCUACGGGAGGCAGCAGUAGGGAAUCGGACGCAAUGGGCGAAAGCCUGACGGAGCAACGCCGCGUGAGUGAAGAAGGUCUUCGGAUCGUAAAACUCUGUUAUUAGGGAAGAACAAAUGUGUAAGUAACUAUGCACGGCUUGACGGUACCUAAUCAGAAAGCCACGGCUAACUACGUG